GGCCUCGCGGCCCAACCUCCCACCCGUGUCUCUCUCUACCUGUUGCUUUGGCGGGCCCACCGGGGCCACCCGGUCGCCGGGGGACGUCCGUCCCCGGGCCCGCGCCCGCCGAAGCGCUCUGUGAACCCUGAUGAAGAUGGGCUGUCUGAGUCGAAUGAAAAUUGUCAAAACUUUCAACAAUGGAUCUCUUGGUUCCGGCAUCGAUGAAGAACGCAGCGAAAUGCGAUAAGUAAUGUGAAUUGCAGAAUUCCGUGAAUCAUCGAAUCUUUGAACGCACAUUGCGCCCCCUGGCAUUCCGGGGGGCAUGCCUGUCCGAGCGUCAUUUCUGCCCUCAAGCCCGGCUUGUGUGUUGGGCGUGGUCCCCCCGGGGACCUGUCCGAAAGGCAGCGGCGACGUCCGUCUGGUCCUCGAGCGUAUGGGGCUUUGUCACUCGCUCGGGACGGAUCGGCGGAGGUUGGUCACCACCACAGUUUUACCACGGUUGACCUCGGAUCAGGUAGGAGUUACCCGCUGAACUUAAGCAUAUCAAUAAGCGGGAGGAA
rnacentral:rRNA from 1 species